rnacentral:lncRNA from 1 species
GAACCCUGAGGAACACUUGAGAACAGUGCAGCCUGGGGCUCGAGAAAGACUAACGGCAAGGCUGCAUACCCUUUCCAGGAGUGAACCUUUAAGCUUUCUAGAUUCAUGGUUUCAAACCUUAAGCAUGCAUCAGAUCCCAUAGAGGGCUUAUUACAACAGAUGCCUGGGCCUCACCCCAGAGUUUCUGUUGUAAAGAUCUGAUGUGGGGCUGGAGAAUUUGCAUUUCUAGAAAAUUUCCAUGUGGUGCUGAGGCUGCUGGUUUGGGGAUUGCACUGUUCCAUAGAAAUUGCUAGUAAAAACAGGACAAUUAAGGACAUUGGAAAGUAGAUUAAGAUAAGCAUAACCAUAUGAGGCGAGUUCAAGAUCAGAAACAACUGCCAGAGGGGAGAGUGCAGGCUGUCACCCACACUUCUUAAACCUCAUUAGAAAAUUCAUUAAUGAGAAGGAAUCAGAGACUUAGGCCUGACUCCCUUGUCUGUCCCUGCUUGUUUUGUACAUACACAUUGACUGAUACAAUAGGAUGCUGAGUUUUGCUCUGGAAGCUGUGAGACGUGGAAGGCUUGUACUGGUUCUCAGCAGAGGCAGCCAAGCCUUUGCUGCCCACUUCUCUCCCAGAAUAGUGAUGGGUUUUGCAUGUCAGGGCCAAAACAAGCUGCCAGGUCCCUGGAAGACAAUUUCGCUGCCAACAUCUCUGUUUAAGAGGCCAGGCCCAUUUAGGAAAUUUGGCCUGGAGAGGCAAAAGAGGGAUCUGUUAUGGACUGAAUGGCCCCUCUCCCCCGACCCAAUUCAUAUGUUGAAGCCCUCACCCCCAGUGUGACUGCACUUGGAGUUGGGACCUUUUUAAGGUAACUAAGGAUAAAUGAGGUCAUAAGGGUGGGCCCUAAUCCAAUAGGACUUGUGUCCUUAUAAGAACAGUAAGAGACACUAGGAUGCACAUGCACAUGGAGAGGCCACGUGAGGACACAGCAGGGAGGUGGCCUUCUGCAAGCCAAGGAGAGAGGUCUUGGGAGAAACCAUCCCUGCAGGCACCUUGAUCUUGGACUUCCAGCCUCCAGAACUGUGAGGCAAUGAAUUCCUGGUGUGUUUAAGCCACCUGGACUGUGGCGUUUUGUUCUGGCAGCCCAAGCAGAAUUACACAGGGUCCAACCAAGGUGAAAGAGUGAGCCUCCUGAAGCUGGCAGUGAAGACAAGUUUAGAAGGGGGUUCUGCAAGUGGAGGCUUGUCCAGUUUGUCCUUCAUCAGGUGAUGGGACCUCGGAGAGGUGAAGUGUUUUGGGAAGUGAGCAGUCACAGAGGCAGAUCCUAUAGGCUGGAACAAUGAGUGUUCCAUGGAGUGACGCUCCAGACCUAGCUCCUGUUUCCAGAUGACUUUAAAGCCCCAGAGGUUCUGGUGCAACCCUACAGGGAAGGAGCCAUCCCCUAAACACUCUGUAGGUUAGAUUCCUCAACAUUCUAACCAGUGGGGGCUUGGAGCAGAUUGGACCUGAUUCUUAAAAAUAAUGUGCCACUUUUUGCCCUGAAGUUGUGAAGCAAACUCAUAUCUACUACACAUUGUAUAUAUAAAUAGUAGGCUAAGCUUAUAGCACUUUUUAAAACUUAUUAUUAUGGAAAAAAUUUAAAUAUAUACAAAAAUAAUAGAAAGAAUGGACCUCUGUGUAUCCAUCCCCCUAGGUCAAGUAUUAUCAAUUUACAGCCAUCUUUUGAAUCUAUUCUCCCACCCCACUAUCCUCAUGGCUUAGUUUGAAACAAUACCCAGACGUUAUAGCAUUUAUCUGUAAACGUUUCGGUAUCCAUUUCUAAAUCCACUAAACCAUUAUUAUACAUUAAAAAACUAACAAUAAUUCCUUAAUUUCAUCAAAUAUUCAUUAUUCAAAUGUACUUGAUUGUCUCAUGUUUUUUUGAAACAACAUGUUUGAAUCAAGAUCUAAAUAAAUAAAACACAUUGUAAUUGGUUGA